UUUCAUAAUUUAGCAAGUGGUGCCUUUCUAGUUUCAGGUUGAGUGCUUAUUGUCUGGUGGUUCGCUGUCUGUAUUUAAGCCUCGUAGCCAUUGCCACCCUGGUACUUGGAAAGAACCUGCAUUACCAAACCUCUGGAGUCAAUUGCAUGUAAACAAUGUUGACUGCCUGAUCGUGACUGCACUUUUCUACAACGGUGGCUGGUGACCUGGUGCAAGAUUUUCCCUGCUCUGGACAGUCAUUUGCUUCAUUUGCCAUCUAGUGCACCAAUCCUGGCUGUGUCCCUGAGAGGUUGUUUCCUGGAGCCCUUAGAAGCUUUGGAUUCCAACUGUGUACUACAAAAUGCAUGUAUGUAGCCUUCAUGGUCUGGUGCACAUCAAGGGCCAUGCUGCAGUAGGUGACAUCCAGUGCUGCAGGCCAUUCCUUCGCCCUUCUCGCCACUACUACUACAGACGGCAUUGCCCGGCCUUAUUACCACCAAACAAGCUGUCCCAAGAGACGGCAUCACGUCAUGAUUCAAGUUGUUCAUCGUACAACCCCACUGCAGUUGUUCCUUCUACAAUCUGUACAAGAUGUAGACCAAAAGUUCUUCUGUAACUUGCUGCUCAGCCUUGUCAGUGAUAUGCUGCUUAGGUUCUUUUUGCAUUUGUUUGAUGUGGGCAUUCUCACUUGCAGACUUAAUGGCAUUCAUUCACUCUGUGCUUCUGGAAUGGUACGCUGGUGC